UACGGGGGGGGCAAGCGUUGUUCGGAAUUACUGGGCGUAAAGUGUGCGCAGGCGGCGGAGCAAGUCGAGUGUGAAAGCCCCGGGCUUAACUUGGGAACUGCGCUCGAAACUACUUUGCUGGAGUGUGGCAGAGGAAGGUGGAAUUCCAGGUGUAGCGGUGAAAUGCGUAGAGAUCUGGAGGAACACCGAUGGCGAAGGCAGCCUUCUGGGCCAACACUGACGCUCAUGCACGAAAGCGUGGGGAGCAAACAGG
rnacentral:rRNA from 1 species